rnacentral:rRNA from 1 species
GAUUAACGUUGGUAGUAUGCCUAACACAUGCAAGUCGAACGGGAUUAUAGUAAUAUAAUCUAGUGGCGAACGGGUGAGUAAUGCUUAUCUAACUUGCCAAUUAGUGGGGGAUAACCCUGGGAAACCAGAGCUAAUACCGCAUUUGUUGCUUCGGCAAUGAAAGGGGGUCGCAAGAUUCUCGCUAAUUGAUGGGGAUAAGUCGUAUUAGUUAGUUGGUGGGGUAAUGGCCUACCAAGACAANGAUGCGUAGCCAGUCUGAGAGGAUGAAUGGCCACAAGGGAACUGAGACACGGUCCCUACUCCUACGGGAGGCAGCAGUGAGGAAUUUUCGGCAAUGGGGGCAACCCUGACCGAGCAAUACUACGUGAAGGAGGAAGGUCUACGGAUUGUAAACUUCUGUUAGCGCGGAAGAAGGGGCUGAGCGUAAGUUUCAGUUUUGACGGUACGCGCAGAGAAAGCCACGACUAACUACGUGCCA